AGCAGAAAAAGGAGGCGUCGAGUUACGCAUUUCUCUUCCAACAAAGAACAAAGUAUAUAUAAUCUGUGCAACAUUCACUACAGGUGUUAACAAUCGAGUCCUAUUUGAUUAUCGAUCAGAAACAAUAUACCUGUAACUCGCAAGAAAUGAAGGAAGGAACGGAGUAAAUCUUCCGGCAGCUCUGAAUCAUUGGUAUUGGAGUGUAAAAUUAAGAAAGCGGACAUUGUUGCCCCAAUUGUAUCAUCUCAUCCACGCUUAAAUACCAUCGGAAAGAUCCAAGAUAUUCAAUCAUCAAGGCGUGUGCCAAAUGCCCUGAGCUUGCCAAGCUCGUGGAUGUGCCUGGGACCUUCUUCACGCGUUGUAACUGCGUCCAUCUCUGGAUCUUUGGGCCCUUGCGCUCCCAGCAACCCCACCGAGGCAGCUGGAUGUGUCUUAGAACAGGGAAGAAAAAGGAGGAAAAGGAAAAAAAGGAAAUCAACAGCAUCAACAGCCCAAACGCAAAGAGAAAGGAGAGUCAGCACUUUUCUUCAUCAACGCUCGCUCAACACCUCAUUCAUUUUGCGCUCCGGCAAACCCUAUUGUUGCAUCCUGGGGUUUUCCGACGUGUGUAUGUGUGUCUACACACAUCGGUGAAUGAAGCCAUAGGCGGGCGUACACGGCGAGAUGAGCCUUUCCAUCCUGCAUGGAAGGAUUGCCAUUUCCAUUUCGGCCCACCAUAAGUGCUGAUUGCUCUAUCUCGUCUCGUCGCCCGCCUCCCCCCGACGGAUGGAUGCCGAUUUUCUGCGGAAAAGCGUACAGCUCAGCAAACUAUGUGCUACAUUACUGCGGCUGUGGGUGGGCAGUAAUAAGGCGCGCACCACAGCAUACGGUUGGAUGGGCAACAGCGAAAGGAGAAAUUAACCAUUUGCUAACGAGAAAGUCGCCUUUCGCGCAAAACCGCUGGGGCGCGCCCCCCCUCUGAUGUAUGGCGGAAGGUUGAAGGUAAUGCGUUUCCAUCGUGUUGUGCUACCCCCACCGAACUGUGUGGGACCUGGAGUUUCUCGGGAGUUGGCGAAGAUUUUGCGUAUAUAAAUUAACGAUUUACUGGGUGCGCUGAGCGCGGUGGAAACCCGAACGUUUCGCCCAACUCAUCGUUCACCGCAGGGGUGUUCGAAGGCGCAAAAGGAGAGAAAAAAACGGCAGGAAAACAUGAUGAUGGAUGCCCACCGAAACGCAACCAAGCGCGCACGAAGCGAGCGAGCGUCAAAGCCCUUUUUCGGCAGCGGUGGCCGGCAACGCGGCAAAAGAAAUAUGACCCAUCGUUUUGUGGCUUAAGCGCAGCAGCAGCAGCAGGGAAAUUGCAACGUAAUCGAAAAAUUGAAAAAUAAGCAACAUAGUACGUACAUUGUGUGUGUGUGUGUGUGUGUGUGUGUGUGUGUGUGUGGUCUUAAGGAUGGAGGUGAACAAUUU